UGAAGGCUGAAAUUCGCCUUCAUGAAGUCGGAAUUGCUAGUAAUGGCAGGUCAGCAUACUGCCGUGAAUACGUUCCCGGGCCUUGUACACACCGCCCGUCACACCAUGAGAGUUGGAGAUACCCCGAAGCCUAUGAGCUAACUUUUAGAGGCAGUAGUCGAAGGUAGAAUCAAUGAUUGGGGUGAAGUCGUAACAAGGUACC
rnacentral:rRNA from 1 species